rnacentral:rRNA from 1 species
GACGAACGCUGGCGGCGUGCUUAACACAUGCAAGUCGAACGGAAAGGCCCUGCUUUUGUGGGGUGCUCGAGUGGCGAACGGGUGAGUAACACGUGAGUAACCUGCCCUUGACUUUGGGAUAACUUCAGGAAACUGGGGCUAAUACCGGAUAGGAGCUCCUGCUGCAUGGUGGGGGUUGGAAAGUUUCGGCGGUUGGGGAUGGACUCGCGGCUUAUCAGCUUGUUGGUGGGGUAGUGGCUUACCAAGGCUUUGACGGGUAGCAGGCCUGAGAGGGUGACCGGGGAAGGGGGGGAAGAGAUACAGCACAGCCGGCGGCGGGGGGCAGGAGGGGGGAUGAUGGCAAGGGGGGCGGGAGCUUGACGCACCGUCGCGGGGGGGGAGAGGAGUGGCGGGGGGUGAUAAACAUAGGUGGCCGGGGAAAAAGGGGGAGAGGCGGUAAGGGAAAAAGAAGAAAGGACUAACUACGUC